AUGUAUUCAAUACGGAAUGAAAUACCUGGAAAUUUCACACAGGCUAGGAAAUCCGUGACUUUUAAUACCAGCCUCAAUCAAAUCUACGAAUUACCCCCCGAAGACCGGAGAAGUCCCUGGAUGGCCCUAGUAGCGGAUCGAAUACGAUUUCGGAGGAGAAUUCGACAGUUAGAAGCAUUGUUAGUUUUUAAGAAAUAAAAUAAAAAAAAAUCAUGUAAUACUACAUCAGUGUUAUGUUAUUUUUAUGACUUCAUCUUUAUACAGUCGGGUUCGGGUUCGGCGGCCAUAGCGAAUUUCGGCGAGAUUUUACCCCAGUGAAAAAGGCUUGUAAUCUACCUUUCCUCAAACCUGGAAGAUAUGUUUUGUUCCUAACCAAUCCAUUCUCUAAGUGAAGUGAAGCCUGGCUGUUGGUCUUCCUUUGGGAAAUAUACAGUGAAAUAA